GUGACUGCGUACCUUUUGUAUAAUGGGUCAGCGACUUAUAUUCUGUAGCAAGGUUAACCGAAUAGGGGAGCCGAAGGGAAACCGAGUCUUAACCGGGCGUUAAGUUGCAGGGUAUAGACCCGAAACCCGGUGAUCUAGCCAUGGGCAGGUUGAAGGUUGGGUAACACUAACUGGAGGACCGAACCGACUAAUGUUGAAAAAUUAGCGGAUGACUUGUGGCUGGGGGUGAAAGGCCAAUCAAACCGGGAGAUAGCUGGUUCUCCCCGAAAGCUAUUUAGGUAGCGCCUCGUGAAUUCAUCUCCGGGGGUAGAGCACUGUUUCGGCAAGGGGGUCAUCCCGACUUACCAACCCGAUGCAAACUGCGAAUACCGGAGAAUGUUAUCACGGGAGACACACGGCGGGUGCUAACGUCCGUCGUGAAGAGGGAAACAACCCAGACCGCCAGCUAAGGUCCCAAAGUCAUGGUUAAGUGGGAAACGAUGUGGGAAGGCCCAGACAGCCAGGAUGUUGGCUUAGAAGCAGCCAUCAUUUAAAGAAAGCGUAAUAGCUCACUGGUCGAGUCGGCCUGCGCGGAAGAUGUAACGGGGCUAAACCAUGCACCGAAGCUGCGGCAGCGACACUGUGUGUUGUUGGGUAGGGGAGCGUUCUGUAAGCCUGUGAAGGUGUGCUGUGAGGCAUGCUGGAGGUAUCAGAAGUGCGAAUGCUGACAUAAGUAACGAUAAAGCGGGUGAAAAGCCCGCUCGCCGGAAGACCAAGGGUUCCUGUCCAACGUUAAUCGGGGCAGGGUGAGUCGACCCCUAAGGCGAGGCCGAAAGGCGUAGUCGAUGGGAAACAGGUUAAUAUUCCUGUACUUGGUGUUACUGCGAAGGGGGGACGGAGAAGGCUAUGUUGGCCGGGCGACGGUUGUCCCGGUUUAAGCGUGUAGGCUGGUUUUCCAGGCAAAUCCGGAAAAUCAAGGCUGAGGCGUGAUGACGAGGCACUACGGUGCUGAAGCAACAAAUGCCCUGCUUCCAGGAAAAGCCUCUAAGCAUCAGGUAACAUCAAAUCGUACCCCAAACCGACACAGGUGGUCAGGUAGAGAAUACCAAGGCGCUUGAGAGAACUCGGGUGAAGGAACUAGGCAAAAUGGUGCCGUAACUUCGGGAGAAGGCACGCUGAUAUGUAGGUGAAGUCCCUCGCGGAUGGAGCUGAAAUCAGUCGAAGAUACCAGCUGGCUGCAACUGUUUAUUAAAAACACAGCACUGUGCAAACACGAAAGUGGACGUAUACGGUGUGACGCCUGCCCGGUGCCGGAAGGUUAAUUGAUGGGGUCAGCGCAAGCGAAGCUCUUGAUCGAAGCCCCGGUAAACGGCGGCCGUAACUAUAACGGUCCUAAGGUAGCGAAAUUCCUUGUCGGGUAAGUUCCGACCUGCACGAAUGGCGUAAUGAUGGCCAGGCUGUCUCCACCCGAGACUCAGUGAAAUUGAACUCGCUGUGAAGAUGCAGUGUACCCGCGGCAAGACGGAAAGACCCCGUGAACCUUUACUAUAGCUUGACACUGAACAUUGAGCCUUGAUGUGUAGGAUAGGUGGGAGGCUUUGAAGUGUGGACGCCAGUCUGCAUGGAGCCGACCUUGAAAUACCACCCUUUAAUGUUUGAUGUUCUAACGUGGACCCGUGAUCCGGGUUGCGGACAGUGUCUGGUGGGUAGUUUGACUGGGGCGGUCUCCUCCUAAAGAGUAACGGAGGAGCACGAAGGUUGGCUAAUCCUGGUCGGACAUCAGGAGGUUAGUGCAAUGGCAUAAGCCAGCUUGACUGCGAGCGUGACGGCGCGAGCAGGUGCGAAAGCAGGUCAUAGUGAUCCGGUGGUUCUGAAUGGAAGGGCCAUCGCUCAACGGAUAAAAGGUACUCCGGGGAUAACAGGCUGAUACCGCCCAAGAGUUCAUAUCGACGGCGGUGUUUGGCACCUCGAUGUCGGCUCAUCACAUCCUGGGGCUGAAGUAGGUCCCAAGGGUAUGGCUGUUCGCCAUUUAAAGUGGUACGCGAGCUGGGUUUAGAACGUCGUGAGACAGUUCGGUCCCUAUCUGCCGUGGGCGCUGGAGAACUGAGGGGGGCUGCUCCUAGUACGAGAGGACCGGAGUGGACGCAUCACUGGUGUUCGGGUUGUCAUGCCAAUGGCACUGCCCGGUAGCUAAAUGCGGAAGAGAUAAGUGCUGAAAGCAUCUAAGCACGAAACUUGCCCCGAGAUGAGUUCUCCCUGACCCUUUAAGGGUCCUGAAGGAACGUUGAAGACGACGACGUUGAUAGGCCGGGUGUGUAAGCGCAGCGAUGCGUUGAGCUAACCGGUACUAAUGAACCGUGAGGCUUAACCUU
rnacentral:rRNA from 20 species